rnacentral:lncRNA from 1 species
AUGAAAUGCAUGAUGUAGUAUUUUGGAUAAAAUAUCUUCUAUUUUCAUUUCUUUUGGCAGUAACGUUCCCAUGCCUGCACAGUGCAGGAAUACAGAAAGGAGAGACUGCCCAACUCAGUCAUCCACACUUGUCAAUCAUCCCUAGGCUGAAGCUUCUUUGGCUCCUUUUGACACGUACAAAAUCCUGUGGUACCACCUAGUGGCAGCUCUUCAGACAGCACUAAGACUACGGGUAUUUCAAGAAAGGAAAUAACCGGGAUUUGUUCUGAUGAGAGGCUUGAGCUAUGCUCAGAAUCAUCUGCACACCGAGAGAAAGCAACGUGCUUCAUGGACCUGUGGUUCUCCGUGUUAUAGAGUAUUUGAGAUGAACGCUGAGUGUGUUUCCAUGGAAACUGAACACCAGUGUUCCAGCCCAUUGGAAAAUCAGUUUACAUACGUAAGAAGACACUGUUGAACCUUCUUGAUCUGGAGUUGCUCAUGUACACAGAUAUUAGCUAACCUAGGGAGCAAGAAGACACUGAAACAAGGUUACCUAAGCUGAGUGGAGACAUCAGACUAGAGCAGUCAGUCCAGGUGACCUGGCUGGGUUAGUCCUUACUAAUGAGCCCUUCUGUUCGCUUCUGUUUUUUCCAGAGACCAGUAUUUAAACAACAGCACUGCUUCAAGCAGCUUUUAGUUUACUUCUCUCACAGCCACCUUCACCCUUUUUCCACAUCACUGCAGGAAAUGAAGAUUCUGUUUAGAUUUUGGGCUAUGGUGUAGGUCCAUCUUAGGGUAUUGAAAUUUAGGUACAAAUCUCUCUGACAGCUUUGACUGAUUUGAAAACACAGAGCAGGAAAUAGAAUUUCUCUUGUUUGAAAAUGGGAGUUAACAGGCUGCUUAGUGUGUGUGCAGGGAAGCUCUGGAUGUCUUCACAUUAAUGUGGCUUUGGAGCCACUUGCCACAUUCCAGCUCCAACUCAUGCCUGCUCCUGUUUCAUUUGCCAACAGCAAGCAUCAAUUUUGGUGAAAAAAAAAAAAAGAUUAAAAGCUGG